rnacentral:rRNA from 1 species
GUUGGCUUGGAAGCAGCCAUUCAUUCAAAGAGUGCGUAACAGCUCACUAGUCGAGAGACCGUGCAUGGAUAAUAAUCGGGUAUUAAAUCAUUCACCGAAGCUAUGGAAACCGUAAGGUUUGGUAGGGGAGCAUUCCAAGUGCGUUGAAGGUAUGAGACGACUCAUGCUGGAGCGCUUGGAAAAGCAAAUGUAGGUAUAAGUAACGAUAAAGGGGGUGCGAUGCCCCCUCGCCGCAAGACUAAGGAUUCCCGGGCAACGUUAAUCGGCCCGGGGUAAGUCGGGACCUAAGGAUAAGCCGAAAGGCGAGGCCGAUGGAAGAGACGGUAAAAAUUCCGUCACUACCUUAUGGGGCGAUGUGGAGACGGAGAAGUGACACUGCCGCGUUCUGACGGAAAUGGACGUUAAAGAGUGUAGGUGAUGAGGAAGGCAGGCAAAUCCACCUUCCGAGCUGAACUUAAUAGUAUGCAAAGCCUUCGGGCGGCGCAAUAGAGCAGGUAAACAGACUCCCGAGAAAAUCCGCUAAGCUUAACCCAUAAGGUACCCGUACCGUAAACGGACACACGUAGUCGGGUAGAAUAUACUGAGGCGCUUGGAAGAUUCAUGGUUAAGGAACUAGGCAAAUUGACCCUGUAACUUCGGGAGAAAGGGUCCCUGCAGCAAUGUAGGGCGCAGAGAAUAGGUCCAGGCAACUGUUUAACAAAAACACAGGGCUGUGCAAAAUCGAAAGAUGAAGUAUACAGUCUGACACCUGCCCGGUGCCGGAAGGUUAAGAGGAGAGCUCAGACGCAAGUCGAAGGUUUGAAUUGAAGCCCCGGUAAACGGCGGCCGUAACUAUAACGGUCCUAAGGUAGCGAAAUUCCUUGUCGGGUAAGUUCCGACCUGCACGAAUGGUGUAAUGAUCCGGACGCUGUCUCAACCAUGAUCUCAGUGAAAUUGUAGUAUCGGUGAAGAUGCCGAUUACCCGCGAUGGGACGAAAAGACCCCGUGAACCUUUACUAUAGCUUAACGUUGUAACCGGGCAGUCGAUGUGUAGGAUAGGCCGGAGACUUCGAAGCGGGCACGCCAGUGUUCGUGGAGUCGCUGUUGAAAUACGGCCCUUCGGCUGUCUGGUUCCUAACUCCCUUGAUGGGAGGACCGCGUUUGGUGGGUAGUUUGACUGGGGUGGUCGCCUCCAAAAGCGUAACGGAGGCUUCUAAAGGUGCCCUCAGGCCGAUUGGUAACCGGCCGUAGAGUGUAAUGGCAAAAGGGCGCUUGACUGAGAGACCUACAAGUCGAUCAGGUGCGAAAGCAGAGCAUAGUGAUCCGGUGGUUCCGUAUGGAAGGGCCAUCGCUCAAAGGAUAAAA